UUUGCUGAGCUACUGGGAGCAGGGCCAGGAUACCAAGAGACGGGGUAGAUCCUCCGUGGAAACCUGCUGUUCAGUUUUCCCACCACAAGCCCUGCCCUAGGGAGCCCCUGGUGCAGGGUGGCAGAGGGAAGAAGCCUGGCAGUGCCACACAUUGUGAGGAAUCUAAUCAAGGAUGGCUUCCUGUACAAAGGACUUUGAGACAACUUGAGGAUGGGGAUGGCAUUCCCAGGGAAUGGCAGGCGGGAGGACAGCUGAGAUAGAAGCUCAGGGCAAAGAUGAGGAGUCAGUGGGUCCCCUCCACAUUGGGCUGAGGAAGGAGCUGAGGCCUGUGCCCUGGCAGAUUCCGUGGUCUAUGCCAGCCAAGGCCUCU
rnacentral:lncRNA from 1 species